rnacentral:rRNA from 1 species
GAUGAACGCUAGCGGCAGGCCUAACACAUGCAAGUCGAGGGAGAAGUCCUUCGGGGCAGAAACCGGCGCACGGGUGCGUAACGCGUAUGCAACCUACCUUUCACAGGGGGAUAGCCCGAAGAAAUUUGGAUUAAUACCCCAUAAUAUUAUUGGAUGGCAUCAUUUGAUAAUUAAAAUUACGAUGGUGAAAGAUGGGCAUGCGUCCUAUUAGCUAGUUGGAGUGGUAACGGCACCCCAAGGCUACGAUAGGUAGGGGUCCUGAGAGGGAGAUCCCCCACACUGGUACUGAGACAGGGACCAGACUCCUACGGGAGGCAGCAGUGAGGAAUAUUGGUCAAUGGUCGGAAGACUGAACCAGCCAUGCCGCGUGCAGGAAGAAUGCCUUAUGGGUUGUAAACUGCUUUUAUAUGGGAAGAAUAAGGAGUACGUGUACUUNGANGACGGUNCCA